rnacentral:rRNA from 1 species
GACAGAGGAUGCAAGCGUUAUCCGGAAUGAUUGGGCGUAAAGCGUCUGUAGGUGGCUUUUUAAGUCCGCCGUCAAAUCCCAGGGCUCAACCCUGGACAGGCGGUGGAAACUACCAAGCUGGAGUACGGUAGGGGCAGAGGGAAUUUCCGGUGGAGCGGUGAAAUGCGUAGAGAUGUGGAGGAACACCGAUGGCGAAGGCAGCCCCCUGGGUCAAGAUUGACGCUCAUGCACGAAAGCGUGGGGAGCAAACAGG